CCUCUUGAUGAUGAAGAGAUGGUUUCAUACAUUCUUAUCGGCCUCGACAUCGUCUACACUCCAAUUGUGUUGGCUAUAGUCAGACGAGUGGAACCUAUCACGGCAGAUGAAUUGUAUGCUUAGCUUUUAAGCUUUGAAA